rnacentral:snoRNA from 1 species
AUGAUGAUUGACGUAACAUCACAGACUUUGACGAACCCGUGAGCAAGAGACACUGUCGCCCCAGUCUGACCGCGACCCCG